rnacentral:rRNA from 1 species
UGAGAAUCUGGCUUCAGGUUCGGGACAACAGUUGGAAACGGCUGCUAAUACCGGAUGUGCCUUAGGGUGAAAGAUUUAUCACCUGAAGAUGAGCUCGCGUCUGAUUAGCUAGUAGGUGUGGUAAGAGCGCACCUAGGCGACGAUCAGUAGCUGGUCUGAGAGGAUGAUCAGCCACACUGGGACUGAGACACGGCCCAGACUCCUACGGGAGGCAGCAGUGGGGAAUUUUCCGCAAUGGGCGAAAGCCUGACGGAGCAAUACCGCGUGAGGGAGGAAGGCUCUUGGGUUGUAAACCUCUUUUCUCAGGGAAGAAUGAUGACGGUACCUGAGGAAUAAGCAUCGGCUAACUCCGUGCCAGCAGCCGCGGUAAUACGGAGGAUGCAAGCGUUAUCCGGAAUGAUUGGGCGUAAAGCGUCCGCAGGUGGCAAUGUAAGUCUGCUGUCAAAGCGUCUGGCUCAACCAGAUAAAGGCAGUGGAAACUACAUAGCUAGAGUAAGGUAGGGGUAGAGGGAAUUCCUGGUGUAGCGGUGAAAUGCGUAGAGAUCAGGAAGAACACCGGUGGCGAAAGCGCUCUGCUGGACCUUAACUGACACUGAGGGACGAAAGCUAGGGGAGCGAAUGGGAUUAGAUACCCCAGUAGUCCUAGCCGUAAACGAUGGAUACUAG